rnacentral:rRNA from 1 species
GACGUAGGGCGCGAGCGUUGUCCGGAUUUAUUGGGCGUAAAGAGCUCGUAGGCGGCUUGUCGCGUCGACCGUGAAAACUUGGGGCUCAACCCCAAGCCUGCGGUCGAUACGGGCAGGCUCGAGUUCGGUAGGGGAGACUGGAAUUCCUGGUGUAGCGGUGAAAUGCGCAGAUAUCAGGAGGAACACCGGUGGCGAAGGCGGAUCUCUGGGCCGAUACUGACGCUGAGGAGCGAAAGCGUGGGGAGCGAACAGG